ACCCAUCUGACGAGUUUCAAAUAGGACGAAACGCGCAUCCUGUAU
rnacentral:hammerhead_ribozyme from 1 species